GCGGCGUGCUUAACACAUGCAAGUCGAACGGAAAGGCCCUGCUUUUGUGGGGUGCUCGAGUGGCGAACGGGUGAGUAACACGUGAGUAACCUGCCCUUGACUUUGGGAUAACUUCAGGAAACUGGGGCUAAUACCGGAUAGGAGCUCCUGCUGCAUGGUGGGGGUUGGAAAGUUUCGGCGGUUGGGGAUGGACUCGCGGCUUAUCAGCUUGUUGGUGGGGUAGUGGCUUACCAAGGCUUUGACGGGUAGCCGGCCUGAGAGGGUGACCGGCCACAUUGGGACUGAGAUACGGCCCAGACUCCUACGGGAGGCAGCAGUGGGGAAUAUUGCACAAUGGGCGGAAGCCUGAUGCAGCAACGCCGCGUGCGGGAUGACGGCCUUCGGGUUGUAAACCGCUUUCGCCUGUGACGAAGCGUGAGUGACGGUAAUGGGUAAAGAAGCACCGGCUAACUACGUGCCAGCAGCCGCGGUGAUACGUAGGGUGCGAGCGUUGUCCGGAUUUAUUGGGCGUAAAGGGCUCGUAGGUGGUUGAUCGCGUCGGAAGUGUAAUCUUGGGGCUUAACCCUGAGCGUGCUUUCGAUACGGGUUGACUUGAGGAAGGUAGGGGAGAAUGGAAUUCCUGGUGGAGCGGUGGAAUGCGCAAAUAUCAGGAGGAACACCAGUGGCGAAUGCGGUUCUCUGGGCCUUUCCUGACGCUGAGGAGCGAAAGCGUGGGGAGCGAACAGGCUUAGAUACCCUGGUAGUCCACGCUGUAAACGGUGGGUACUAGGUGUGGGGUCCAUUCCACGGGUUCCGUGCCGUAGCUAACGCUUUAAGUACCCCGCCUGGGGAGUACGGCCGCAAGGCUAAAACUCAAAGGAAUUGACGGGGCCCCGCACAAGCGGCGGAGCAUGCGGAUUAAUUCGAUGCAACGCGUAGAACCUUACCUGGGUUUGACAUGGAUCGGGAGUGCUCAGAGAUGGGUGUGCCUCUUUUGGGGUCGGUUCACAGGUGGUGCAUGGCUGUCGUCAGCUCGUGUCGUGAGAUGUUGGGUUAAGUCCCGCAACGAGCGCAACCCUUGUUCACUGUUGCCAGCACGUUAUGGUGGGGACUCAGUGGAGACCGCCGGGGUCAACUCGGAGGAAGGUGGGGAUGACGUCAAGUCAUCAUGCCCCUUAUGUCCAGGGCUUCACGCAUGCUACAAUGGCUGGUACAGAGAGUGGCGAGCCUGUGAGGGUGAGCGAAUCUCGGAAAGCCGGUCUCAGUUCGGAUUGGGGUCUGCAACUCGACCUCAUGAAGUCGGAGUCGCUAGUAAUCGCAGAUCAGCAACGCUGCGGUGAAUACGUUCCCGGGGCUUGUACACACCGCCCGUCAAGUCAUGAAAGUUGGUAACACCCGAAGCCGGUGGCCUAACCGUUGUGGGGGAGCCGUCGAAGGUGGGACUGGUGAUUAGGACUAAGUAAUAA
rnacentral:rRNA from 1 species